rnacentral:rRNA from 1 species
UGCAGUACUAAGUAGGUAGCAGUACCUAACUGAUCUUAUCUUGCCUCAGAAGCUAACUAAAAUUGGGUUAGUCAGUACUUUGAUGGAAGACCAUCUAGGAAUCCUAGGACUGUAA